CACGUAGGGGGGCAAGCGUUGUCCGGAUUUAUUGGGCGUAAAGAGCUCGUAGGCGGUUCGGUAAGUCGGGUGUGAAACCUCCAGGCUCAACCUGGAGACGCCACCCGAUACUGCUGUGACUCGAGUCCGGUAGGGGAGCGUGGAAUUCCUGGUGUAGCGGUGAAAUGCGCAGAUAUCAGGAGGAACACCGGUGGCGAAGGCGGUUCUCUGGGCAUGUCCUGACGCUGAGGAGCGAAAGUGUGGGGAGCGAACAGG
rnacentral:rRNA from 1 species